CCUACGGGAGGCAGCAGUGAGGAAUAUUGGUCAAUGGACGCAAGUCUGAACCAGCCAUGCCGCGUGCAGGAAGACGGCUCUAUGAGUUGUAAACUGCUUUUGUACGAGGGUAAACGCAGAUACGCGUAUCUGUCUGAAAGUAUCGUACGAAUAAGGAUCGGCUAACUCCGUGCCAGCAGCCGCGGUAAUACGGAGGAUUCAAGCGUUAUCCGGAUUUAUUGGGUUUAAAGGGUGCGUAGGCGGUCGGAUAAGUUAGAGGUGAAAUCCCGAGGCUCAACUUCGGAAUUGCCUCUGAUACUGUUCGGCGAGAGAGUAGUUGCGGUAGGCGGAAUGUAGGGUGUAGCGGUGAAAUGCUUAGAGAUCAUACAGAACACCGAUUGCGAAGGCAGCUUACCAAGCUACUUCUGACGUUGAGGCACGAAAGCGUGGGGAGCAAACAGGAUUAGAUACCCGGGUAGUC
rnacentral:rRNA from 1 species